rnacentral:rRNA from 1 species
UAACUCUUAGCGGUGGAUCACUUGGCUCGUGGAUCGAUGAAGAACGCAGCUAGCUGCGAUAAAUAGUGCGAAUUGCAGACGCAUUGAGA